UUUAUGGAGAGUUUGAUCCUGGCUCAGGAUGAACGCUGGCGGCGUGCCUAAUACAUGCAAGUCGAGCGAACAGACGAGGAGCUUGCUUCUCUGACGUUAGCGGCGGACGGGUGAGUAACACGUGGAUAACCUACCUAUAAGACUGGGAUAACUUCGGGAAACCGGAGCUAAUACCGGAUAAUAUAUUGAACCGCAUGGUUCAAUAGUGAAAGACGGUUUUGCUGUCACUUAUAGAUGGAUCCGCGCCGCAUUAGCUAGUUGGUAAGGUAACGGCUUACCAA
rnacentral:rRNA from 1 species